UACGAAGGGGGCUAGCGUUGCUCGGAUUGACUGGGCGUAAAGGGCGCGUAGGCGGUUUGCACAGUUGGGCGUGAAAUUCCUGGGCUUAACCUGGGGGCUGCGUUCAAUACGUGUAGGCUUGAGUUCGGAAGAGGUCGUGAUUCCGAGUCGUAGCGGUGAAAUGCGUAGAUAUCUGGAGGAACACCGGUGGCGAAGGCGGCAUCCUGGACCGAUACUGACGCUGAGGAGCGAAAGCCAGGGGAGCAAACGGG
rnacentral:rRNA from 1 species